GAUGAACGCUGGCGGCGUGCCUAAUACAUGCAAGUCGAGCGAACAGACGAGGAGCUUGCUCCUCUGACGUUAGCGGCGGACGGGUGAGUAACACGUGGAUCACCUACCUAUAAGACUGGGAUAACUUCGGGAAACCGGAGCUAAUACCGGAUAAUAUAUUGAACCGCAUGGUUCAAUAGUGAAAGACGGUUUUGCUGUCACUUAUAGAUGGAUCCGCGCCGCAUUAGCUAGUUGGUAAGGUAACGGCUUACCAAGGCAACGAUGCGUAGCCGACCUGAGAGGGUGAUCGGCCACACUGGAACUGAGACACGGUCCAUACUCCUACGGGAGGCAGCAGUAGGGAAUCUUCCGCAGUGGGCGAAAGCCUGACGGAGCAACGCCGCGUGAGUGAUGAAGGUCUUCGGAUCGUAAAACUCUGUUAUUAGGGAAGAACAAAUGUGUAAGUAACUAUGCACGUCUUGACGGUACCUAAUCAGAAAGCCACGGCUAACUACGUG
rnacentral:rRNA from 1 species